GACGAACGCUGGCGGCGUGCCUAAUACAUGCAAGUCGAACGAAACUUUCUUACACCGAAUGCUUGCAUUCACCGUAAGAAGUUGAGUGGCGGACGGGUGAGUAACACGUGGGUAACCUGCCUAAAAGAAGGGGAUAACACUUGGAAACAGGUGCUAAUACCGUAUAUCUCUAAGGAUCGCAUGAUCCUUAGAUGAAAGAUGGUUCUGCUAUCGCUUUUAGAUGGACCCGCGGCGUAUUAACUAGUUGGUGGGGUAACGGCCUACCAAGGUGAUGAUACGUAGCCGAACUGAGAGGUUGAUCGGGCCACAUUGGGACUGAGACACGGCCCAAACUCCUACGGGAGGCAGCAGUAGGGAAUCUUCGGCAAUGGACGAAAGUCUGACCGAGCAACGCCGCGUGAGUGAAGAAGGUUUUCGAUCGUAAAACUCUGUGUUAGAGAAGAACAAGGAUGAGAGUAAC
rnacentral:rRNA from 1 species